rnacentral:rRNA from 1 species
GUGUUUCGCUCUCGUUGGUGACCAGCGGAGGGAUCAUUACCGAGUUUACAACUCCCAAACCCCUGUGAACAUACCUUAAUGUUGCCUCGGCGGAUCAGCCCGCGCCCCGUAAAACGGGACGGCCCGCCAGAGGACCCAAACUCUAAUGUUUCUUAUUGUAACUUCUGAGUAAAACAAACAAAUAAAUCAAAACUUUCAACAACGGAUCUCUUGGUUCUGGCAUCGAUGAAGAACGCAGCAAAAUGCGAUAAGUAAUGUGAAUUGCAGAAUUCAGUGAAUCAUCGAAUCUUUGAACGCACAUUGCGCCCGCUGGUAUUCCGGCGGGCAUGCCUGUUCGAGCGUCAUUUCAACCCUCAAGCCCCCGGGUUUGGUGUUGGGGAUCGGCUCUGCCUUCUGGCGGUGCCGCCCCCGAAAUACAUUGGCGGUCUCGCUGCAGCCUCCAUUGCGUAGUAGCUAACACCUCGCAACUGGAACGCGGCGCGGCCAUGCCGUAAAACCCCAACUUCUGAAUGUUGACCUCGGAUCAGGUAGGAAUACCCGCUGAACUUAAGCAUAUCAAAGCGGGGAAGGAA